rnacentral:rRNA from 1 species
AGAGUUUGAUCCUGGCUCAGGACGAACGCUGGCGGCGUGCCUAAUACAUGCAAGUAGAACGCUGAGGUUUGGUGUUUACACUAGACUGAUGAGUUGCGAACGGGUGAGUAACGCGUAGGUAACCUGCCUCAUAGCGGGGGAUAACUAUUGGAAACGAUAGCUAAUACCGCAUAAGAGUAAUUAACACAUGUUAGUUAUUUAAAAGGAGCAAUUGCUUCACUGUGAGAUGGACCUGCGUUGUAUUAGCUAGUUGGUGAGGUAAAGGCUCACCAAGGCGACGAUACAUAGCCGACCUGAGAGGGUGAUCGGCCACACUGGGACUGAGACACGGCCCAGACUCCUACGGGAGGCAGCAGUAGGGAAUCUUCGGCAAUGGACGGAAGUCUGACCGAGCAACGCCGCGUGAGUGAAGAAGGUUUUCGGAUCGUAAAGCUCUGUUGUUAGAGAAGAACGUUGGUAGGAGUGGAAAAUCUACCAAGUGACGGUAACUAACCAGAAAGGGACGGCUAACUACGUGCCAGCAGCCGCGGUAAUACGUAGGUCCCGAGCGUUGUCCGGAUUUAUUGGGCGUAAAGCGAGCGCAGGCGGUUCUUUAAGUCUGAAGUUAAAGGCAGUGGCUUAACCAUUGUACGCUUUGGAAACUGGAGGACUUGAGUGCAGAAGGGGAGAGUGGAAUUCCAUGUGUAGCGGUGAAAUGCGUAGAUAUAUGAAGGAACACCGGUGGCGAAAGCGGCUCUCUGGUCUGUAACUGACGCUGAGGCUCGAAAGCGU